rnacentral:rRNA from 1 species
AGCAGCCGCGGUAAUUCCAGCUCCAAUAGCGUAUAUUAAAGUUGUUGCAGUUAAAAAGCUCGUAGUUGAAUUUUGGGUCUGGCCGGGCGGUCCGCCCUCUGGGUGAGCACUGUUCCGACGUCGGGCCUAUCCUUCUGGUGAGUCGGCAUGUCCUUUAUUGGGUGUGUCGGGGAACCAGGACCAUUACCUUGAAAAAAUUAGAGUGUUUAAAGCAGGCAUUUUUGCUCGAAUACAUUAGCAUGGAAUAAUGAAAUAGGACGGCAUGAUUCUAUUUUGUUGGUUUCUAGGAUCACCGUAAUGAUUAAUAGGGAUAGUUGGGGGCAUUAGUAUUCAAUUGUCAGAGGUGAAAUUCUUGGAUUUAUUGAAGACUAACUACUGCGAAAGCAUUUGCCAAGGAUGUUUUCAUUAAUCAAGAACGAAAGUUAGGGGAUCGAAGACGAUCAGAUACCGUCGUAGUCUUAACCAUAAACUAUGCCGACUAGGAAUCAGACGAUGUUAAUUUUUUAAUGACUCGUUUGGUCACCUUACGGGAAACCAAAGUGUUUGGGUU